rnacentral:rRNA from 1 species
AGCAGUCGCCGCGGUAAUACGUAGGGUGCGAGCGUUAAUCGGAAUUACUGGGCGUAAAGCGGGCGCAGAUGGCUACUUAAGCAGGAUGUGAAAUCCCCGGGUUCAACCUGGGAAUUGCGUUCUGAACUGGGUGGCUAGAGUGUGUCAGAGGGGGGUAGAAUUCCACGUGUAGCAGUGAAAUGCGUAGAGAUGUGGAGGAAUACCGGUGGCGAAGGCAGCCCCCUGGGAUAGCACUGACGUUCAUGCCCGAAAGCGUGGGUAGCAAACAGGAUUAGAUACCCCGGUAGUCCCUGUCUCUUAUAA